rnacentral:rRNA from 1 species
GAACCACUUCGGUGGGGAUUAGUGGCGAACGGGUGAGUAACACGUGGGCAAUCUGCCCUGCACUCUGGGACAAGCCCUGGAAACGGGGUCUAAUACCGGAUACUGAUCCUCGCGGGCAUCUGCGAGGUUCGAAAGCUCCGGCGGUGCAGGAUGAGCCCGCGGCCUAUCAGCUUGUUGGUGAGGUAAUGGCUCACCAAGGCGACGACGGGUAGCCGGCCUGAGAGGGCGACCGGCCACACUGGGACUGAGACACGGCCCAGACUCCUACGGGAGGCAGCAGUGGGGAAUAUUGCACAAUGGGCGAAAGCCUGAUGCAGCGACGCCGCGUGAGGGAUGACGGCCUUCGGGUUGUAAACCUCUUUCAGCAGGGAAGAAGCGAAAGUGACGGUACCUGCAGAAGAAGCGCCGGCUAACUACGUGCCAGCAGCCGCGGUAAUACGUAGGGCGCAAGCGUUGUCCGGAAUUAUUGGGCGUAAAGAGCUCGUAGGCGGCUUGUCACGUCGGUUGUGA